rnacentral:tRNA from 1 species
GGGUGUGUAGCUCAAUGGUAGAGCGCCGACUGCAGAUCGGCAGGUUCAUGGUUCAAUUCCGUGCGCGCCCU